rnacentral:rRNA from 1 species
AUUGAACGCUGGCGGCAGGCCUAACACAUGCAAGUCGGGCGAGCGGCGGACGUGUGCGUAAUGUAUGGGGAUCUGCCUGAUGGAGGGGGAUCACUACUUGAAACGGUAACUAAUACCACCUACCAUCAGAUGAACCCAUAUGGGAUUAGCUUUUAGGUAAGGUAAAGGCUUACCUAGGCGACGAUCCCUAGCUGGUCUGAGAGGAUGAUCAGCCAGCCUGGGACUGAUACACGGCCCAGACUGAUGCGGGAGGCAGCAGUGGGGAGUAGUGGACCAAGGCCGCAAGCCUGAGGCAGCCAUGCCGCGUGUAUGAAGACGGCCUUCGGGUUGUAAAGGACUGUCAGUGGAGAGGCGUGACCGACAGAAGAAGCACCGGCUAGCUCCGUGACAGCAGCCGCGGUAAUAC